AUUUAGGUAGCGCCUCGUGAACUCAUCAUCGGGGGUAGAGCACUGUUUCGGCUAGGGGGUCAUCCCGACUUACCAACCCGAUGCAAGCUACGAAAACCGAAGAAAGAUAUCUCGGGAGACACACGGCGGGUGCUAAGGUCCGUCGUGAAGAGGGAAACAACCCAGACCGCCAGCUAAGGGCCCAUAGUCAUGGGUAAGUGGGAAACGAAGUGGGAAGGCACAGACAGCCAGGAUGUUGGCUUAGAAGCAGCCAUCAUUAAAAGAAAGCGUAAUAGCUCACUGGUCGUGUCG
rnacentral:rRNA from 1 species